AUUGAACGCUGGCGGCAGGCCUAACACAUGCAAGUCGAACGAGUGGCGGACGGGUGAGUAAUGUCUGGGAAACUGCCCGAUGGAGGGGGAUAACUACUGGAAACGGUAGCUAAUACCGCAUACCAUCGGAUGUGCGCAGAUGGGAGUGGCUAGUAGGUGGGGUAACGGCUCACCUAGGCGACGAUCCCUAGCUGGUCUGAGAGGAUGACCAGGCAAACUGGAAAUGGGACACGGUCCAGACGCCUACGGGAGGCAGGGGUGGGGAAUAGUGCACAAUUGGCGCAAGCCUGAUGCAGUCAUGCCGCGUGUAUGAAGAGGGCCUUCGGGUUGUAGAGUACUUUCAGCGGGGAGGCGUUACCCGCAGAAGAAGCACCGGCUAACUCCGUGCCAGCAGCCGCGGUAAUUC
rnacentral:rRNA from 1 species